rnacentral:rRNA from 1 species
AACGUAGGUGGCGAGCGUUAUCCGGAUUUACUGGGCGUAAAGAGCCCGCGGGCGGCCUGUCAGGUCGAGUGUGAAAUCUCCCGGCUCAACUGGGAGGGGGCGCUCGAAACCGGCAAGCUUGAGGGCCAGAGAGGGACAUGGAAUUCCCGGAGUAGUGGUAAAAUGCGUUGAUACCGGGAGGAACACCAGUGGCGAAAGCGAUGUCCUGGCUGGUCACUGACGCUUAGGGGCGAAAGCGUGGGGAG